UGAAGGGUGCAGGAUCAAGAAAGCAGUGUUUUGUCUUCUUUACUUUUCUAUCUUUUCCUUUCUUUUCUUAACAACGGGAGAGAUCUGACCACUAUUUGCUAAGCUGGAAGGAAGGAGCCAGUGGAGCGAAGGCAGAGGCGGCAGCAGCAGGACUGUCAAAAACCUCCACUAACAGCCCGGUCUCCCAGGGACACUGAGCCCGUCGCUUCAGAGACCCAGACACUGACCCCUGCCUCUGCGAGAGCUGCUGCACGGCGGCUUUUAGCCUGUCUCCUGACAGAGGUCAGCUCUGAGGAAGAAGGGAGACCAAAAAGAUGGAAAUAAAG
rnacentral:lncRNA from 1 species